rnacentral:lncRNA from 1 species
UUUGGUUAUGUCGGUUAUGAUAUCUGUACCAAUCACCAGAUGUUAGCUGGUGCACAAUGCUACUGCACAAUUGGUAACGGAACUUUUUGAUUUUUUGAUAGAUAUGAUUGUUUGUAAUUGCCUUAAGCAUGCUACCAUGUGUUUUUUCCACACAAUACAAUUUUCUAUUGGCUUCUGUGAUUUGAUGAAAUUAUUGAAUUUUUGAGCUGAUAUGAUCACCUUAUUUAUUAUUUUGCUGUCUGAGAUUUUGAAUGUUUGUAGCUUGUAUUGCUAAAUCAUCUAUUAUGUCCAUCGAAACAUUAGAGAAGUUUUUUUUGGUAUCUCAUCUUUUUUGCUUUCUCCAUUUGCAAGAGAGUUUUGAUCCAUUUGAUGAUGAUAGAGAGAUUUUUUUCUGAGUGAAAAUCUCUGUAACUUGUUGGAGCGAAUCCAUCAUGUUUUGUAUAUUAUAAGUGAAUGUCACAAAGAAAGUCUUUGGAUGUUAAUGUUUUUUUUUGAACGUGCAAUACUUUAAGGAAGUACUUCAACCUAGAAACAGUCUCAUAUUCUAUCGCCUGAGGAAGCAAUGAUGUUGCUGUUACCUUUUGGAAUUGAACAUGAGACAUGCAUAUUCCUUUAUUCUUUUGGUUUUUUAUUUAAACUAAGAAUCAGAGAAGACAUGUUGUUUUCUACCCAGCAACAAGGAGUGGCUAGUGUUAGGUGUGACAA